AUGGCAAUUUACUCUAUAUUUUUUGAUAAAUUUAUUGGCUUGAUAAAGAUGUUGUUGAAGACAGUUGUUGUGCCAGAUUAUGCUGUUGAAGACUGAUGUUGGGUCGGGUUGUUAUAACAACCUAACAACCCGAGUUGCCCUAAUUAGGAUCUUAUAUAACAUGCUUUAUCAUAUGUUUUGACUUAUUCAAAGAUAUUUUCCUACCACUUGUUUCUCUCAUUUCUUUCUCUAGAAAGUUCAGUAGGGUUUCAUUUGUUUCAACUCUAAAUCAUCUUGAAUUAGUGAUUCAGGUGUGAGAUCUUGUGUUUGUUUCAUGAUUAUCGUGUUGAUAAUCUGUUGUAGUUGAGAGUUGAGGGUUUUUCAUGUUUGUAUCUUAUGUUUCAUUUGUGUAUUAUGUAAAUCUCCAGAACACUUUAGGGUAAAUAAAGCAUUGGUUUGGGUUUUGUAGAUUACGUUCUU
rnacentral:lncRNA from 1 species